GGCUGGUCCAAUGGUAGUAGGCUAUCAGAACUUAUUAACAUUAUUAGUGUCACUGAAGUUAGUAUGCAAACCCCCACUGCUAAAUUUGACUUUUUUUAU
ensembl:Y_RNA Y_RNA Y RNA